UACGGAGGAUCCAAGCGUUAUCCGGAAUCAUUGGGUUUAAAGGGUCCGUAGGCGGAUUUGUAAGUCAGGGGUGAAAUCCCGGGGCUCAACCUCGGAACUGCCUUUGAUACUGCAAAUCUCGAGUCCGAUAGAGGUGGGUGGAAUUCCUAGUGUAGAGGUGAAAUUCGUAGAUAUUAGGAAGAACACCGGUGGCGAAGGCGGCCCACUGGAUCGGUACUGACGCUGAGGUGCGAAAGCGUGGGGAGCAAACAGG
rnacentral:rRNA from 1 species